rnacentral:rRNA from 1 species
UACGAAGGGUGCAAACGUUGCUCGGAAUUACUGGGCGUAAAGGGCUCGUAGGCGGCCAACUAAGUCAGACGUGAAAUCCCUCAGCUUAACUGGGGAACUGCGUCUGAUACUGGAUGGCUUGAGUUUGGGAGAGGGACGCGGAAUUCCAGGUGUAGCGGUGAAAUGCGUAGAUAUCUGGAGGAACACCGGUGGCGAAGGCGGCGUCCUGGACCAACACUGACACUGAGGAGCGAAAGCCAGGGGAGCAAACGGG